ACGAACGCUGGCGGCGUGCUUCACCCAUGCAAGUCGAACGGAAAGGCCCUGCUUUUGUGGGGUGCUCGAGUGGCGAACGGGUGGGUAGCACGUGAGUAACCUGCCCUUGACUUUGGGAUAACUUCAGGAAACUGGGGCUAAUACCGGAUAGGAGCUCCUGCUGCAUGGUGGGGGUUGGAAAGUUUCGGCGGUUGGGGAUGGACUCGCGGCUUAUCAGCUUGUUGGUGGGGUAGUGGCUUACCAAGGCUUUGACGGGUAGCCGGCCUGAGAGGGUGACCGGCCACAUUGGGACUGAGAUACGGCCCAGACUCCUACGGGAGGCAGCAGUGGGGAAUAUUGCACAAUGGGCGGAAGCCUGAUGCAGCAACGCCGCGUGCGGGAUGACGGCCUUCGGGUUGUAAACCGCUUUCGCCUGUGACGAAGCGUGAGUGACGGUAAUGGGUAAAGAAGCACCGGCUAACUACGUG
rnacentral:rRNA from 1 species